AUGAAAUGCCAUAUAGCCAUGGACAGCAUCUCGAGGCCCAGUUUUUCCAGGGCAGGCAAAGUCAUGUUGAUCUCUAAGUGGGUUGAGCAGGACGCGAGAGCCGGAGUUUCUGCGGGAGCCGCGGUUUUUGCGGGAGCCGAGGUUCAUGUGGGAGCCGAGGUUCAUGCGGGAGCCGAGGUUUUGCGGGAACCGAGGUUCUUGCGGGAGCCGAGGUUCCUGCGGGUGCCGAGGUUCAUGUGGGAGCCGAGGUUUUGCGGGAGCCGAGGUUCAUGCGGGAGCCGAGGUUUUGCGGGAACCGAGGUUCUUGCGGGAGCCGAGGUUCCUGCGGGUGCCGAGGUUUUGCGGGAGCCGAGGUUCCUGCGGGAGCGGGUGCUGCAGGGCCAGGCGCGGCCGGCAGGUGGCAGCACGGGGAAACAAGGCCCGCGGGCAGGGCUGGACCGCGCCGGGGAUCCGGGGGUCAGAGAAGGGUUCAAUGUGAAAACCACUGCAUGCGCUUUCAGCACUGCACUCACGGUAAGAAUUCCCAGUUUGCUGUUUGUGGCUGAUGUGCCCAGAAGGACACAGUUCAAGUUUUUUCACAGCCUUACUAUUGAAAUUCUGGUAAGUCAUUUAACUUUGGGAGGUUUUUUAUUGUUUUAGAACAAGCAGGUGUGACUCAGCAAUGCUUCAGGAUCCAAAGUGCUGAAUACAAAGAGAUUUAUUUUUAUAUGCUCAUCUGUUCUUUGAUACUCAGCCAUCACAUCUGAACAGACACAGAGACACAUACUCUACACAGAGAUGGGUAGGAGGCUCUUCUUUCCUGCUCCACGGACCGGGAGUAUCCAUUAGGCUUUUCUUGAAGGUGAUAGAUGUCCUAAUUUCUAUCAACCGCUCAUUCAGAUGACUUUUUUAGUGCAGACAGGAGAACGCAAGUUUACAGUAUUAGGUGACCUUAGGUUGUCUCAGUUUUUCAGAGGUGGCACAGGUGAUUUCACUGAAGUUCUUGUUGCUUCAGUAACCUGUCUGACCUUCGCAACAUCUUCAUGGCUGUGGAGAGAGAUAGUAUCUGCCCUGCGCAAGGCACUUGUAUGUUCCUGUAAGCCCUUCAUCUUCUGAAUAAGAAAAACAAGCUCUGUUUUCACCUGAGAAAACUCGUGGGGUAUUUUGUGCAUUUCAGAACAUUUACCUCAGGGAAGAACAGAGUAGCAGCCAUGCCCAAGUAGUCAUUUUCUCUUGAAACUACGUUUCUCUUGAAACAUGCACAUACUGUCCCCUGAAUUGCUUUGAGAUUCCCUGAAAAAAUACUUUGCUUUUCCUUUUCCACUUCUUCUCUGAGAUUUCACAAAGACUGUAACCUGUAUUGGGCCUUGACAGAGGCUGUAUAUGAUUUUCUGAGGUGUCCUUUUGCAUUCUGCUGAGUGGCUGAAACUGAACUCCUUCACUGCUGGUCCUCCAACAUCAGCUUCCUCUCUUCUGCUGAGGAGCCAGGCACUAACAUCCAAAUGCAUCUGGAAAACAAUGCUUUUAUUUAUCCUAGUAAACUAAGUGGGCCAUGAUUUGGGCGACUGAGACACUGGAUCUCCAUCCCAUGUCUUUAAAUUUUAAGUGUGCACUCUAGCAUAAUUCGACUCCAUGCAAUCUCUCUCCUAAACAACACUUGAGAGUAUUUAUUCUGCCAAAGUUCAAGCUUGUGGGCUUUAAGACCGUCUGUCCUGUAUGUAGGAACAUACUGAAGCUCUUCUGGUCACUGUUUUGCCAAGUUCAGAUCUGAUGGGCAUCUUUGUUUUCCUCACCCAGCUGCCCCUGUUGGCACAGACCUGAGCCUACUUUUCAGUGAAUUCUAAAGCCAGUGGAAAGUGGUGUCAGGAAGGGGCUAUUCCUCCCACCACUGGUAACUUAUGCCAGUCUAAG
rnacentral:lncRNA from 1 species